GGCCAUGCUCUGGAAUAGCAGGUUGGACCCGGCCGCUGUCACUCAGCCCCGGGGGUCCGAAAGCGCGUGUAAAGGCGAGGCUGGGGAAUUGGCCCACCUUGACCCUGAAGCCCCGCCCUGUGGCGGGUGGGAUUGGUGGAGCCCAGACCAACCGAGAAAGAUGGGUCCGCGUCUGAAACAAAGCACGCGAAGUGUUUUCCGAAGAACCGAGAAGGGGAAGAGCAGUUGGGGCAGCUUGUAUCCCGCUGCAAGGAGUAGGAGAGUCAGUUCUUCCCUUGCGCCCCACGCUACUCGUCGGGAUCUCCUGUUUGUCGCGCACGCCUCGGAACGGCUUUCUGCAGGAGCUGAGUCCGCGCUGAACUUCGACUGAGACUUCUCUUGCUGUUUCUUACAGCUAGAACCUGGAUAAAGAAUCGACGCAUCUUCAUUUACAGCAAACCCUCUGAUCCCUGUGGAUGACCGGCUUGCUGUUCUUGGAUGAGCUAAUUCAGAAGAAAAAAUAGCACUUCAACAGAAUUUGGAAGGAGGAGACAGAACCAGAACCAGAAGCAGAACAUAAGGGAAUGGAACAUUGGGCCAGAUGAUCUCAGAGAUGAACUCAGCUCAUUCCCUCGUAUCCCAGCAAUAAGCGCAAGACAAACUGAACAAGUGAGCUGGGAAGGGGCAACUCAGGAAGCAAGAGUCUCUCCUGGCAUAGUCACCAUAGGUGUCCCUGCCCAGAGGACAUCCAUCCCUGUGGUGUGCCCAUUACAGAGUGGCGUGUCCAGACAGGCAUCAGCCAGCUGGCCUCUCCAGACAUGUUCCUCUUUAGGGGUUACAGGUGAGAAAAUGAUGCGGUUCUGGGGAAGACCCAUAUUUUGUGUGUAGUCUUGAAUAUUAGGUUCUCCUACUGCUGGAAAACGCAGCAUCCAUAGCACACUGUCGGGAACACGCUUCAGAAUAUUUGCCCACUUUUGCAAAGUAGAAGGGUCAAUUUUAUCUGAUUCAAGUUACAGUACACAAUAGCAUCUUCUGGUAACCCAUCCUGAGAACGUGUGUUUACAAAAGAAAAAAAAAAGUGUACUAGAAUUCAAAACACGAAUGAGAAAUGGGAAGCAAGAAGAUGCAUCCCUUGAAUUGCCAGAGUCCACUAAGUAGAAAAGUGGAUAGAAAGCAAGCAGGGAAGAAAGAAGAGGCUGGUCUCCGGGAUGGAAGGAGACAUUGGCUGUUAAGAAAAUGUCCACUGUAUGGA